UACAGAGGUGGCAAGCGUUGUUCGGAAUUACUGGGCGUAAAGGGCGCGUAGGCGGCCAUCUAAGUCAGACGUGAAAUCCCCCGGCUUAACCUGGGAACUGCGUCUGAUACUGGACGGCUCGAGUUUGGGAGAGGGAUGUGGAAUUCCAGGUGUAGCGGUGAAAUGCGUAGAUAUCUGGAGGAAUACCGGUGGCGAAGGCGGCAUCCUGGACCGACAUUGACGCUGAGGAGCGAAAGCUAGGGGAGCAAACGGG
rnacentral:rRNA from 1 species